rnacentral:rRNA from 1 species
AAAUGAAUAGACGGGGGCCCGCACAAGCGGUGGAGCAUGUGGCUUAAUUCGAUGCUACGCGAAGAACCUUACCCAGGUUUGACAUGUAGGAGACCGGGUGUGAAAGCACCCUUUCCUUCGGGACUGCUACACAGGUGCUGCAUGGCUGUCGUCAGCUCGUGUCGUGAGAUGUUCGGUUAAGUCCGGCAACGAGCGCAACCCUCGUCCUUAGUUGCCAGCGGGUUAUGCCGGGGACUCUAGGGAGACAAACUCUUUUUAAGAGUGGGAAGGUGGGGAUGAUGUCAAGUCAGCAUGGCCCUUACGCCUGGGGCUGCACACGUGCUACAAUGCCCGAUACAAUGGGAAGCAAUAUCGCAAGAUGGAGCAAAUCCACAAAAUCGGGCCCAGUUCAGAUUGAAGUCUGCAAUUCGACUUCAUGAAGCCGGAAUCGCUAGUAAUGGCAUAUCAGCUACGGUGCCGUGAAUACGUUCCCGGGCCUUGUACACACCGCCCGU